rnacentral:rRNA from 1 species
GUGCCAGCAGCCGCGGUAAUACGGGAGGGGCAAGCGUUAUCCGGAAUAACUAGGCGUAAAGGGUUCGUAGACUGUAAAGUAAGUUACUUGUUAAAUUUUAAAGCCUAACUUUAAGGACAAUAUAAUACUGUUUUACUUGAGUUUAAUAUAGAAGAGUAGAAUUUCAUAUUAAGGGGUAAAUUCCUAAAAUAUAUGAAGGAAUAUCAUUAGCGAAAGCGACUUUUUAGUAUAAACUGACAUUGAGGGACGAAAGUAUAGGGAGCAAACAGGAUUAGAUACCCUGGUAGUCUAUACUGUAAAUUCUGAGUGCUGUAAUUUAGUAAAAAUUUUUAGAUUUUUUAAGCUAACGCCAUAAGCAUUCCGCCUGAGGAGUACGAUCGCAAGAUUGGAACUCAAAGGAAUUGACGGGAGCCUACAACGAGUGGUGGAGCAUGUGGUUUAAUGCGAUAAUCCGCGCAAAACCUUACCAACCCUUGACAUAUUGAAAAAAAGUUUGAAUUAAUACGAACUUUUUAUUAUUAAUUAAACAAUUAAUCAAUUUUCAUUACAGGUGUUGCACGACUGUCGUCAGCUCGUGUCGUAAGAUGUUUGGUUAAUUCCUUUAAACGAGCGCAACUCUUAUUUUUAAGAAUUUACUUUUAAUAUUUAAUACUUAGGUAGUUAAAAUUAUGCUUUAAAAAGACUGUGAAGUUAAAAAUAAAAUCUCAAAGGAAGGUAAGAAUUAAGUCAAGUCACUGUGGCCCUUAUGGGUUGGGCUACACACGUGCUACAAUGAAAAUGACAAAAAGUAACAAAAAUCAAAACUUUUAGUUAAUCUUUAAAAAUUUUCUUAGUUCGGAUUGUAGACUGCAACUCGUCUACA